AACUCCUGUAGUACAACUAUACCCACUUAUAAUUUGUGUUUUAUGAUAGUCUUAACUUUAAUUGUUGUUAUAUAGUAUUAGGAAUGAAGGUUUGCGGCUAGGUCUGAGCAUAGCGGCUAACAUGGGUUGCAUCUUCCUCAAGAACUUCACUUCUCCAUCCUCUGAUCGGUUGCUUCUAUCCUCUUUCUUUGUUCAUUCCCUCUGUUUCUCCAUCCCUUAGCUCAACCACAUAUUCCUAAGCUGAUUCUUUUCUUCUUCAGCUCUUACUUUCACUAGUUCUUGAGAAGUAGCACCUAAAGAAGCAUAAUUAUUGUGCAAAUUUGAAAUGGAUUAUUCACCAUACACAUUGACACCCUAUUUCCCAUUGGUUUUCAUAUUCUUAUCGUUCUUAUCACAUAUAUUUCUGGGUUUUCAUAUUCUUAUCGUUCUUAUCAUAUAUAAUUAUAAUCUAUUUUUUUCAUGAAGAUGGGGAUCAUGAAUAUGAUUUGCCAAAUUGAAUUCUUAUGUAGUUGACAUGAUUCUUUCUUUGUAUUGGGCUAAAAUUAAACAACAGGGGCUGUGAGUCUGAUGUAAACCAACAUGAUUCAGUUAUAUUUCUACACUCUUGGAGGACGGGCAAUCCAAUUUAGAAGUUGUCGUUACUUCAGGACAUAUUGCGUUUUCAAAAUGUCAACUUGCCAACAAUGUUAGUGUGAGAUGGACUAAGCCUCCAAAAGAGUGUUUGGCCGUGGGUUUUGGACAAAUGUGAGUUCUUGACAUAGGUGGUUGAAAAUGAAUAUCAGCAAUACCAAAAGAUUUUGGAGGAGCUAGAUAUGGUUGAAGUCCAAUAAAUUGAUUACUGGUUGGACCGGUACAAAAUACUGCAUUAUUUGGAAUGGAAUGAACGUUUGUCAUGUUGAACCUAUUACACAUAAAAGUAUUUGGUGUCAUAACAGAAGUAGAUGCCAUUGGUUGUUGAAUAUUUGUAGAUUUGGGAGAUGCCAUGGUCCUUGUAGUUGGAAUCUUUCCUUUCUUUAAUCCAUUUUUGUAAUUCUGUUCAUCAUGAAAGAACAAACCGAAUGUUUAAAAUAUGAUUUUUUUUGUAACAUUGUUUAAAUUAGUUACCUGUAAAUGACUAGCAAUGUGACCGCGAUUAAGUUGAGGUUCAUUCAUCAUUUCCAAUAUUUUAUUCGGAACAGCUUCUGCAAAAUUUCAAAAAUAACGAUUACAAAUUUGAUUUGUAAAAUGUAAUAUAUUUGUGUAGGUGAUGGAAGAAUUUAUUACUUGAUCCGAGUUUAUCAACAACAUCGGCA